AGAGAGACAGAGAGACAGAGCAUGAGUGGGGAAGGGGUAUAGAGAAAGGGAGACACAGAAUAUGAAGCAGGCUCCAGACUCUGAGCUGUCAGCACAGAGCCUGAUACAGGGCUUGAAGCCAUCAACUGUGAGAUCAUGACCUGAGCUGAAGUCAGAUGCUUAACUAAUGCUUGAGCCACCCAGGUGUCCCUGUAGUUAAUAUUAAUAUCAAUAUUAAUAUUAAUAUUACUGUUACCUAUUCUCCCUCCAUCUCCUACCAUGCUCCCUCUUCCUCCUUUCCUUAAAACCUAUGCUCCAUUCAUUCCACACCAGGAAUGCUUCCCAGACAUGUUAUGAUAUGCACAUCUCUCAGUCUGUGAUUUUCAUUCUCUCUUGCCCAUCUACAGUGGACUUCCCAGGCCAGUUAUAAACCCUUUUGGAGAAGGCACUGUGGUUUUUCACAUUUAUAAUUCCAGCAACUAGCAUAUUUCCAGGAACAGUUCAGACACUUCACAAAUAUUUGUUCAAUUGAAUUAACUGUAUUAAACUAAAUAGUGUGAAUAAAACUGUACACAUCCACUUAGGGAGAGUGAGGAAUUCUUCAUAGGGAAUGAAUCACGAAAGGUUUCCCGUAGGAGCAGACAGUUUAACUUGAAAGCUUUGAAGGAUGGGUUCAUCAGGGGAUCAAGGUUCGGUGUGUUUAAGCGUUGUAGUUGGGUUAAGAAAAAUGAGUGUGGGCCCAAAUGCAAGACAUCGCAUACAGCGAGAGCUCUGUAAGCAGGGAGCUGAAUGAAGGAAAGAAUGGAAGCACACAUUUGUUCUCUAAGCAACAAUUCUGUUGUCACACUAAGAGAAAGCACAACUUGAAUUGCUUGCCUUCAUUUUAGUUUCUCCCUUAAUAUUAUUUUUGUAAACUUGUGAGUAAUGAAGAAGGAAGGGGCCUUAACCACUUCUCAGACUUUCAUAGGUAGGCCAAAAAAUAAACAACUCUCACUACCAUUAUAUCCCGUUUCCCAGGUCUUCUUGGCUCUUUAUUUCCCACAGGUAAAUCUUCAGGUCUGAGUCAUCUUCAGGUCUGAGCUGGUGGAGAAGUGAACCUAGCAACCUGGUGUUCCAGAAGAAGGGACUUCUGCCCAGAGUCAUACCUUUGUCAAAUAUACACAAGACAGGAGCAGGAGGAAGCCACUUUAAGGAGUGGAGUGAUAGAUACAGUCUGGCUGGAGCUUUAAGAAGGUCACACUGGCAGACAUUUAUCAAAAGCCGCGGAUUUCCAGAUGUUUCUUCUCCUGGGCCUGUCACCUUCUGCACAGAAGAAACAAGAGAACCCAUCCAGCCUCUUAUACUCCCUGAGGAAAACAAACAACCCACCUUGAUCUCUGCAGUCAGCACUCUGAGCUGACAUUUAGCUUCCUCUCGAACAUGCUAAAGAAAAAAGUGUAUAUUAGUCAGUUGCAUUUUCUCAGUUUAUUUUCUUAUCUUUUAACAUACCGUAAGUUCUUCAAAUACUGCUUGAUCUUAUAUAUCUACAAGUCGACCAACAGCAAUAAGACUUGGCAAAUUAAGCAUCCAAAUUAAUUAUGCAAGCUUGGCUUUAAUUUCUACUUUAAAAUAUAAUGCACUGAAUUAGAGGUAUCAAUAUCAAAAUAUUGCCUAUGCUUGUUGCUAAUUUUAAAUGGAAAGGUUUCCAAUUCAAACAGUUCUAGAUAUUCAAACACAUUUUCAUUUGCUCAUGAGAAUUUUUUUAAGGCAGAACAUGCUACUUAACAUAAAAUCAUUAGUCUUAUAAAAGAAAUAUAGGCAGGAUCCAAGUUCAUCAUAAGAUUCAUUCAUUCAUUCAUUAUGCUGGGCACUAGAGAGAAAAAAAAAACCACUAUCUGAUCUCUAAGAAACUCAGUCUAUAAGAGGCAAACAUGUAAAUAGAUCAUAAAAAUUACAAUAUAGUAAGUCCUUUUAUAAACAUUACAGGAGAGGUGUUUCCUAUCUAAAUUUUCUCCUCAUGAUGUAGAAGCAUACCAGACUAGGAUAAAAGAAGAUAAUAGGAGACAUGAUAUUUUAGCAAGACAAUCUACAGAACAUGCCUACGAUAUUGCAGAUGCUAGAUAGCCUAGAACAUUGGGAAGGUCUCUUUCCCUCCACCUGGGGUGGCAUCCAGCAGAGGACUUGACGGUGCUCAAGAAUGUACACC